GUUUGUGAAGAAGAUGCAAACCACCUGCACCUAGACAUAAAGACCCUAUGAAGCUUCACUGUUUCCUGGAAUUAGCUUUGAACUGUGCAACUUAGGUGGAGGAAAAGAAGGCCUUCUUCUAGGGGUGUAAAAUCACCAGUGAGAUACCAUUUUGGAAGAGUUAAAAUUUUAAUUAACCUUGUGUCAGGACCUAUCGGUCGAGGGACAAUCUCAGGUAGAUAGUUUUUAUGGGGCAUAGGCCUCCCAAAAGAUAACAAAAACGUGUAAAGGUUUCCUCAAGUCAAACGGAGAUUAGCCCUUAGUGCAAAGGCAGAAAGGAGCUUGAUUGUAAGACUCAUCCAUUGAGCAGCGACAAAAAUUGAUCUUUGUGAUUCGACGGUAUCGAAUAGAAGGAUUGUCGCUCAACAAAUAAAAAUUAAUUUAGUUAUAAUAGAGUGAUCUUUCCCAAAUGCUCACAUUAAUGGAAAGGUUUGACACCUUGAUGUUUGUUGUUCGGCAUAUG
rfam:Glycine soja cultivar W05 scaffold3954_20, whole genome shotgun sequence.